rnacentral:misc_RNA from 1 species
GAGUCGUUUACCUCUUUUGAGGCAUGCUAUAAAUUAGAGUGUAACUUUGGUCCUAAACCUAAAAAUUGUGAAAGAAUCAAAUUUACAAAACAAAAAAGUGCGAAAGUACAAUUGCUGAUAUAAGGUAUGUCUAAUACCUAUGGAAAGUAUUAGGUCGUAGAGCAUGACCCAAAUUCUGCAUCCCAAGGUGGUUAUUAUGUGUACCCCUAAACUCAUUUU